rnacentral:lncRNA from 1 species
UUUUUUUUUUGGUGUUUUUUUGUUUUGUUUUGUUUUUUAAAUUGAAGGCUAAAGUUUUCGAAAAAACUUUGUUGGACUCUGGCUGGAACACAAAAUCAGAUAUUUGGAAUCAUUUUGAAGCUUAACUUUUUCCUAGCCAGCCUUGUAUUCUAAUUGCUUGCAAAUGUGAGACUGAAUGGCCAAAAUGCCGUUUGUUUGUUUGUUUAUUGUCAGCUGCUUUUAUCAAAUUCCAGGCCAUUAUCCAGCAAACACUAUUAAAAUGUUUGAACAGUUGGGUUUCAAACAUUUUUGUUUUGUGGAGUGGUGCUUAUUAAGUGGUACAGCUCUCUAAGCAAGUGAACACAAACAUAUUUAAGUGUAUUUUGUAUGAUUAGAUGUUACCAAUUCUGAUAUUUUAUUCAAAUGUCUAAAAAAAUAAGUUGACUUAUUCCCUUUACCAAAGGGCCAGAGACAAAUGGUUUCCUUUCAAGAGAAAUGACUGUUUUGAAGAAAAACUGUGUUGGUCUUAGCUCUUUUGUAAUUAAAUCUGGAUGUACCUCAAAAGACUCUUUAAGACUGUGGUGUUAAAAGGCUUUCCUCUGGAGAAGGAGAAAAUAUCAACUGGAACUUAAAAACUUGAAAUUCCAUGACAAAACACAGAUGUCCAGGAUUGGAGGUUCAUAAAGUACAUGCAGUAGUUGGAGUGGAUUCCAUUUUCAGUGUAGCUGCCACCAUGGACUCCAAGCUCCCAGAUUUUCAAGAACUGGACCUGUGACCCAGAAGAGCUUGUCAAGAUAUGACAGGAACUCUGGAGGUGGACGUUUUAUAUUCAAUUUUGGAACUGGUUGAUCUUGCCGUGAGUAAAGAGAGACACGACUCACCAAGCACUGCCACCAGCACUGUUACUGGGAACUUGAAGACCCAAGUUUCUGUCCAGAACCUCAGUGCAAUCUGACAACACUCCAUCCAAAGUGAACUACGUCCCGUGCCUCCUGGUUGCUGAAUGUUCACCUGGACCCUCCAAUGACCUUCCUUCCUGCUACUCCAUCAGCCUACAGACCUGGUACUUGGAUUUUUGUCCAUGGUGAUUCCUACCACCUUACUACUGAAGAAGACACCAUUCCAGUGGACCACUGUGACCCAAGAAGCAUUCAGCCAUCAUGAUGUGGCCUUUACCUCCACUCCUGUCCUACUCUGCCCAGAUUCAGCACAGCCCUUUAUAGUGCAGUCAAGAGUCUUCAAGCCAAAUAACUGAAGCUAUUUUAUCACAACAAAGGCCAGGUCUAUUCCAUAAAUGUACAGUUAAUUUCUGCAGUUUAUUCUUCAGAGACACAUAGUAAACUUGGACCAGGGGAUUUUGUUUUGUUUAUAUUGUCAACACUGUCUGAAGAAAGGCAUCUCUGAGAACAGCAUUGGACCCUACUCCACAAUCUCAAAUGAUUGAAGUUUCAUGAACUGCCUAGGAUCCUGUCAAGGCCACUGGACUCUUGUUCUUUUCCUACUUCAAAAUCUGUAGCUGUCUCUAAAUGACAAAGCAGAUAUUCUGACCCAUUGGGAUCAAAACCAAGGCAUAUUGAAUUCCUCAUAGUAUCAUCUUCGGGUUACUCAGGAACCAAAACUUUUCACACCAAUUUAAGAAAUUCUACUGAGGAAUCCCUUUACUUAACCAUCUCACAAGGCUUCAACCAGAUUCCUGAAAAGGCCUCUUGAUAUAUCAAGAUAGAACCUACAUGCAUUUUGUGAACAACUUAUCACUGAUUUUCCAAAGGCUUUAUGCUCAUGAAGUUCUUUGAAGGAAAGCUGUGUGGAAGUCCAGAGUAAAGUGAAGCUGCUCUGGAUGAAGUAAUGAAGUGGGAGUUAAGGUCUACAACCUGCCACAACCAUCUUCCUUGACCACCAUGGUGAUGCCUAAAGGGACUUCCUUAUAUAAAGCUCUUCAGAAAAUCCUGCUUGAAACCACUACCCUAGACAACAUGUUUGACCUGAAUGGCAUUCUCUUCAAAACAAUUCAUAUUCAGUUGAUGCUCAACAUGUUUGAAGAUGCUUUAUUCAGAGAAUGAUGAUAAUACAGCAUUGUCUAAUGAAGUUUUAUUAAUAGCAUUCCAUCCAAGGUGGACUUCCUGGAGUUGGAUAUAACCAGAGAGCAAUUCAUAUGUAUCCUACACUGAAGAACACCAUUAACUUUCAGCAACCUAUAGCUAGUGGACUUACUAGAAGUACGUGACUUGGAAGUCUAUGAGAGCUGGUAUUGAAGUUGAUGCCUCCUUAAGGCCAUCUUAGACCAAGUUGUUCUUUUGACCUCUCCUCAUUAACUAUGAAGCAGAAUUGAAAUACAAUUUUUCCUAAAGGGACUUGCAACCUGGUUAUCAUUAUCUCAAGUUUCAAGUCAUGUUGAUGCAACCAGUAGUUAUUAAACUGCUCCAUGGUUUUUUUGUUAUUUAAUAAAUACUUUUUCCAGGGCUUAAAAAAACGAAACUAAAUUUCUCCAACACGUCUAUACUUGUCUAUUCAAAAGUAACUACUCACCACUAUAUGGAACAGAUGAUUCUGAAGACACUCUUUGAGCAUCCUUUGUGAUACUUGUGACUUAAAAUGUGGCUGGAAACUUUCCUUCUACCCAGUGAAAUAUUUAAUGAUUAGUCUUCAUGCCUGAUACCAUCAACUGUAUAUGUGUGAUAAGCAAAGUUUGACAUAGGCAUUUGACUCUAGGCUAUGAUAGCUUGCUAGUAACUUCAAGUAGCAUAUUGUCAACCUGUUUGCUGGAAAAGUAGAGUGACUUGGAAAAAAAUCUAAAUGGCAGCUAAGGAUUUUUUCAGUAUUCCUGAGUUUCUGUCCUUGGGAUAUUUCAAUGAAAUUUUCACCUGUCUCUUCACUUAACAGAGUGACUGACUCCUUACUAUGAAGUAUUCUUAAGACAUUAAGAUUAUUUUUGUAGAAAGGAUAAAAUUCCUGACCAUCCAAAUCAUCAUAGUGAACAAGACUUCAAUUUGUGACCUAAGAAAAUCUCAUUUCUCUACUUCGUAGUCAAUGUAAGGGCCAAAUGCUAUCAGCUACUCUGAAUGCACUGGGUAAACGUUGGAACUGCCUUCUUUAUAUCAUUAUUUCUUAUCCUCUAAUCAUGGUUACGUAAUUCUCACCACAAAUCAGCAAAUCAGACUCACAUCUGGUUAUUCUAGACUGCUCACAGUUAACAAAUCAAACUCUGAAUGACUUCUGCUUGUAUAUGCAACUACUAUUUGUAAAGAAAUUGCAAAUUCACUUUUCUAUUACCUCUACAUUGCUAGCUCUUUCUUUUGUGUUUGUAUUAAAAACAAAAAUAAGCUACACUGCCAGCUAUUCCCUCCUGCCAUACUCAGUUAAAAUGAAGAAUCGGGAAUCUAACCAGUGAAUGGAUAAGUAGAAAAAACUAAAACUUAAGGCAAAAGCCUUAAUCUAGGGCCUUUUCUACUAUCUUCAUGUCUUGGAUUUCAUCUAAAUCAACAGUGCCACCCAACCAGUCUGAGGUCUUGACUUGCUUUUAAGAUGAUUCUUAGAGAUGGGCUAUAUUACAGAAGGUGAAGACUUGAUUACCAAAGAAAGUAGAGCCAACUAUGACAAACCUGGCUCUACGAUCCUAUUGCUUCCAGAUGUAGCAUAGACUCAUAACUAGAACCUCAAGUCUGCAUUGAGGAUAUAGCCUUCUAAGCUGACAGUUCUUGCAACAGGUGAGCAAGAAAAUGAAAGCUGUUAUACCCAACUGGCCCUUUAAGAUCCAAAAAUAAUGUCUGGACUAAACCCUAUGGAGUACCCAGGACAAAAACUAAUUUACAGAGCUUCAUUAUUAAUCUGCCUGUUCUUCUAGCUUAAUUAUUGGUAUGACUGGCCCUGCUGAAGUAGUUUGUCUGUUUACCUGUCUUCAGCUCUUAACCUGCCUAUUUUGACAUGCUACUGCAAUUAGACUAACUGGCUUUGAGAAGACUACAAUCAGUUUCAGCCUCUCCUUUGCCAUACCUCACCCCACCAGAACAGGAAGGACCGUGCUGCAUAUUCCUUGACCAGCAACUUUAAGUAGAGGAGUAGAGAACAACCCUGCUUGUUUUCUAUACCUGAAACACCAUUUGAUCUAAUAGGAGUAUAGAAGAUUGACAGCAGAGUACACUGCUUGCUUCUUUGGUAACUCAGAAAUGAAUAUGACUGGCCCAGAAAUUGUAAGUUCACCUUGACAAGAAACAGCAACACCAGAAGUUUACUGCUGAACUUAAUUUGCCACUUACUCGAAUAGCCUCGCAGACCUGCUUGCCAAGUAGGAGGCUAGUUUUCCUGCUUCAUAUCACCAUUGUAGUGGGGCUCAAUGGUGUCAGUCUUAAUACUGACUUGAAUGGGGACCUUAUGGUGAAUCCUAGACUAUGAGGCUAAUGGAAAUUGUCUAUUCAAGUGGAUUAUAGGUUUCCUGAGGACAGAACAGACAUCACUCCUGGUGAUUUUUAGAACUUGAUUACCAAGGAAGAAAUACCAGCUGCUAACAGUCAACUUUAUGGGCAAAGAUUAAGCUCUCUAUAUCUGGUCUUAUCCUGGAUGCUAGUUUUUUAUUGCCCAGUGACCAUUUCCAUCUCACGCUUAACUUCCUGAUGUUUUUUGGAACCAUCUCUUCCAAUUUUCAGUCCUGGUGAUUUAGACAGUCUUUUCAUGCUGGACAUUUUGUUGCAACCUCAUCAAUCACAGCAAAGUCCAUCUUGACUCUAGUGAUUAGUUCAGGAAUGGAUGCAUGAUUCAAGUUUGUCCAAUGAUAAUCAACCCUAGGUGUUUUCUCAGUUGUGGAGAAGUUCUCUUAGAUGCUUUAGCUUUGUAGGAGAAAACUCAAACCAACAGGGCCUACUGUGUUGAAUGAGCCGGGCAGAAAAUGAAGCCAGUACAGAGGGAAAUGGAGCCAAAAGAGGAAGAGACUUGAGUUCUGAUGAUCACAUUUUUGCCCCUGUAUCCAACUGUGCCUGAAGCUAAUAGUACAUCACCUGGACUUUUCAGUUAUGUGAACCAAUAAAUUCCCCUUUUUGUUUAAGUUA